rnacentral:rRNA from 1 species
GACGAACGCUGGCGGCGUGCUUAACACAUGCAAGUCGAACGGAAAGGCCCUGCUUUUGUGGGGUGCUCGAGUGGCGAACGGGUGAGUAACACGUGAGUAACCUGCCCUUGACUUUGGGAUAACUUCAGGAAACUGGGGCUAAUACCGGAUAGGAGCUCCUGCUGCAUGGUGGGGGUUGGAAAGUUUCGGCGGUUGGGGAUGGACUCGCGGCUUAUCAGCUUGUUGGUGGGGUAGUGGCUUACCAAGGCUUUGACGGGUAGCCGGCCUGAGAGGGUGACCGGCCACAUUGGGACUGAGAUACGGCCCAGACUCCUACGGUAGGCAGCAGUGGGGAAUAUUGCACAAUGGGCGGAAGCCUGAUGCAGCAACGCCGCGUGCGGGAUGACGGCCUUCGGGUUGUAAACCGCUGUCGCAUGUGACGAAGCGUGAGUGACGGUAAUGGGUAAAGAAGCACCGGCUAACUACGUG